rnacentral:snoRNA from 1 species
UUACAGCCAGUUAAGCUGACUGUGCUCUUUUCCCCAUGGGGCCCAGUGUGCAGUGACUGCAAACAGCAGCCUCUUUGGUAUGCAGUCUAUUGCCUGUAUAAGCUGCCCUAAGAGACCUUAGAAACAGCC